AUUGAACGCUGGCGGCAGGCUUAACACAUGCAAGUCGAGCGGAGUGGUGGUGCUUGCACUAUCACUUAGCGGCGGGCGGGUGAGUAAUGCUUAGGAAUCUGCCUCUUAGUGGGGGACAACAUCUCGAAAGGGAUGCUAAUACCGCAUACGUCCUACGGGAGAAAGCAGGGGAUCACUUGUGACCUUGCGCUAAUCGAUGAGCCUAAGUCGGAUUAGCUAGUUGGUGGGGUAAAGGCCUACCAAGGCGACGAUCUGGAGCGGGUCUGAGAGGAUGAUCCGCCACACUGGGACUGAGACACGGCCCAGACUCCUACGGGAGGCAGCAGUGGGGAAUAUUGGACAAUGGGGGGAACCCUGAUCCAGCCAUGCCGCGUGUGUGAAGAAGGCCUUAUGGUUGUAAAGCACUUUAAGCGAGGAGGAGGCUCUUUUGGUUAAUACCCAAGAUGAGUGGACGUUACUCGCAGAAUAAGCACCGGCUAACUCUGUGCUAGCAGCCGCCGCAG
rnacentral:rRNA from 1 species